CUCUUAAAAAUUCUACAUAUGAAGAUGGGCCCAGGUCUCAUUCGGUUCCAUCCCAUUUUCUUUGAGUGAUUCAAAGUGUCCCUUCCUCUUCUGUUUAUUGUAGGAUUUUUUACUUGCAUACACAUGGCACCUGACACACCUGAUUGAACUUGCAAAGUUCAAAUUGUGGACAUGAGUCGCGAGCGAGAAAGCCCUGAGAAUAGAAUCAUAUUCCAAAAUCUGGUUUUGGAAGAUGAAGAGGUAAUUUCAUCGAUAGUCUGAACAAUUUCGAUAACAAUUGAACAUUGUUUUCUUCAAUCCUUCUUAGGCAUUUUAAGUGUAUAUAAGAGGUGUUCCCUACUUUGGGAACUACAUGAAUGGAUGAGGAAACUAAAAAGGCAGCAUAUGAGGUGUAGUUCUGCUAAUCAAUUCCAAAAUUUUACUAUUGUCAAGUAAAUAAUGUUUACUGAGUUAUACUCGGCAUUCAGCACAUAGACAUAGUGUUUACUUUGUUCCACUGGCAGAGGAGAAGUACCAAGGUUGCAGGAAAUGAAAUCAACAAAAAUGAAAGAAGCUCCAAUGAGAAAGAGGUUGGAUUUGGAGCUAAUUUGCAGGAAGAGACAUUUGGUUAUUGAGAUUUGAGACACAAAGUUGAUCUAUUUUCCUGUGGAAAGUAUAGAAACUGGUACUUCUGUAGAAAUUGAAGAUGAUAUGGCUUUAGUUCUUAUAGGUAUUUGGCAAUUUCUGAUGUUAAAAAGGUUGGAAUGCAAUGUGUUGUGAUAUAUAGGGAGCUUGUAAUUAUACUGUCUA